UUAGGUUCUCUCCCGGGUGGGUGGCCCCUCCCGGUAAAAACCUGGAACCCAUUCGUCACUCCCGGUACACUGUCGGCUGUGCCCGAAAUCUUUCCGGAAGCCAAAUGAAACAAUCCUAUAUAUCAAUCUUCAUUUCCGGACCAUUCCGGAAACCCUCGUGACGUUCGUGAUCUCAUCCGGGACUCCGAACAAAACUUUGGUCACCAGCACCUAUAACUCAACUAUACCAAAACGUCACUGAACCUUACGUGUGUAGACCCUGCGGGUUCGAAAACUAUGCAGACAUGACCUGAGACACUCCCCGGUCAAUAUCCAAUAGCGGGACCUGUAUGUCCAUAUUGGAUCCUACAUAUUCUACGAAGAUCUUAUCGGUUGAACCUCUGUG
rnacentral:lncRNA from 1 species